rnacentral:rRNA from 1 species
UCUGACCUGCUCAAUGAUUAAUAUUAAAUUGCUAUAGUAUUUUAACUAUACAAAGGUAGCAUAAUAAUUUGUCUUUUAAUUGAAGGCUUGUAUGAAUGGUUGGACGAGAAGUAAACUUUCUUAAUUUAAAUUAAAUUGAAUUUAAUAUUUUUGUAAAAAAGCUUAAAUAAAGUUGUGGGACGAGAAGACCCUUUAGAAUUUUAAUUAAAUUAAUAAUUUUUUAUUUUAGUAAGUAUUUUGUAAUACUUUAUUAAUUUAAUUUUUGUUGGGGUGACAGUAAAAAUUUUUUAACUUUUAUUAUUAAAUUAAUCAUAAAUUAAUGUAUUAUUGAUCCUUUUUUUAAGAUUAAAAGAUUAAAUUACCUUAGGGAUAACAGCGUAAUUACUUUGGAGAGUUCUUAUCGAUAAAGUAGUUUGCGACCUCGAUGUUGGAUUAAAGUUAGAUUUAUAGUGCAGCUGCUUAAUUUCUAGGUCUGUUCGACCUUUAAACCUUUACAUGAUCUGAGUUCA